UCAUAAUGAGAAAGUAAGAAUAAUUCUGCUUUCCAGCGCGGUCAAAGUCUUGGGAGGAUGUGACCCUGGCGCGGUAAUACGCAGCCACCACGCAAGUGGAAUAGGGUCAGACGCGAUCUAACAAUGCAAGGCGAAAGCCUUGCAUUUUUUU
rnacentral:sRNA from 1 species